UACGUAGGGAGCAAGCGUUGUCCGGAAUCAUUGGGCGUAAAGCGCGCGUAGGUGGCUUCGUAAGUCCGCUGUGAAAGUCAAAGGCUCAACCUUUGAAAGCCGGUGGAUACUGCGGAGCUAGAGUCCGGAAGAGGCGAGUGGAAUUCCUGGUGUAGCGGUGGAAUGCGCAGAUAUCAGGAGGAACACCGGUGGCGAAGGCGGGUCUCUGGGCCGAUACUGACGCUGAGGAGCGAAAGCAUGGGUAGCGAACAGG
rnacentral:rRNA from 1 species